rnacentral:misc_RNA from 1 species
AAGAAGAAGAAGAAGAAGAAGAUGUUAACUCUUGCAGUGGGUUGUUCAUCAGCUGCCCUGGCGCCCAUGGUUUCUGCACUUUCCACCUAUGGCAAAGCCUUGGUUCACCUUCCAACUACACACUUUGGCUUCAAAGGAUCACAAGUGCCAUCGCAUCUCUGCAUCCCCACCACACCCAUUUCCUCUUUCAAGACUGCUGUUGCCACUGUUGACUCAAAUGAACCCAGUUCAUCCUUUCCGAAUCCUCCUGACAAGCAAGAAGCCAACAAGUACUAUUUUGUUGUUGCAAAUGCAAAAUUCAUGCUGGAUGAAGAGGAGCACUUUAAGGAGCUCUUGUUUGAACGCCUUCAUAAUUUUGGAGAGCGUAAUAAAGAGCAGGACUUCUGGCUUGUGAUUGAGCCCAAGUUCUUGGACAAAUUCCCUAAUAUUACUAAGAGGUUAAAGAGACCAGCCGUUGCUCUAGUGUCAACUAAUGGUCCAUGGAUCACGUAAGAACCUUUCUAACCCGUAAUCUGAUUGUAGCUUCUUGUUUUCUUUUAUGCUUCAACUUUCUUUGCAGUUGAUGUCUAUAUUCAAGUGUGAAAUGUGAUGUUUGGAAGGCUCAUUUGCAUAGUCUUGCCAUCAUAGUAUCCCAUCUUAAUGAAUAUUUUUGAAAUGCUUGCUAUGGCUAUGUUGAGUAUAACUAACACUUGAUAUUCUGUAAAACUCCACAAUAUGGAUUGGAACUUCUUGAAUUUGGGCAUAAUUGUGUGCCUGUGCUAUUGUUACUGCUGAACCCAACAAGAAAAGUUUUGUUGCUCAAAAAGAAUUCAGAAAUAAUGACUCAUUUAUGUAUUUGUAUUAAAAAUUUAAUGAUUUAUAUUUUGGUCAUUGUACUUUGCGUAGCAAAUAAGUUAGUCGGUAAAAAUGGGAGCUCCCCUUCCUUUUCAACUAGGGUUCAACUCUGUUAGGGAGCACUCCUGGAUUAUGUAUUAAGAAGCCAACUUCAGUCAGUAGUACACAGUUUAUAAGGUUUUGGGAACAAGCCCCUGAAUACUGUUUUCUUCAGCUAAGAAACAAGAGUUUCUGAGCUUGCAAGCAGAGUUUGAGCUAGCAUGCCCUCCCUGUGAUGCUUUCAACUUGGAAAAGAGCUCCUAAUAGGCUAAUAUUACUAUCAAUUUACAGAGAAGCUUUCUUUUUCAACCAAUGUAGGCAUUUUUUUUUUAUUUGUCGAGGCACCAGGAGUUAAUUUUGUGUGCCUAUUCAUUAUUUUAUCUUCUAUGAGUUUUGACUAGAAAUUUCCCCCACUUCAGCAUUCAAGAUUAUAUAAAAACAAUGCUUGAGCCUGCACCUUGAGCAUUUUUAUUUUUAUUGUAUUAUUUAAUAUAUUAACUAAAUUUUUUAUGAUUAUUUAAUAUAAUUAAAAUUCUUAUUCAUCAGAUUAUUAAAUUAGUAUUUAAUUAUUUUGAAUCAAUCCGGCUAGAAUUUUCAAAUUGGAUAAGGUGGCAAAAUACUAUGCAAAGUUGCAAUCGAAAGUAUAAUAUAUACAAAUUGUAAGCCCCGCUUUGGGGAUUAAUUUUUAUAAUUUUAUUAAAUAUAUUAAUUAAGUUUUAUUUAAUUAUUUAAUUUUUGUAUAAAAAUAUAUAUAAUAAAUUUAUUAUU